UACAGGGGGGGCAAGCGUUGUUCGGAAUUACUGGGCGUAAAGGGCUCGUAGGUGGCCGACUAAGUCAGACGUGAAAUCCCUCAGCUUAACUGGGAACUGCGUCUGAUACUGGAUGGCUUGAGUUUGGGAGAGGGAUGCGGAAUUCCAGGUGUAGCGGUGAAAUGCGUAGAUAUCUGGAGGAACACCGGUGGCGAAGGCGGCAUCCUGGACCAACACUGACACUGAGGCGCGAAAGCGUGGGGAGCAAACAGGG
rnacentral:rRNA from 1 species